UGAGAACAUUUGUUUACGCUGCACCUGAACAACUUGAGGGUUCUAACUAUGAUUCAAUGAACUGAGGAAGGGCCAGGUCCCUAAUACGCUCUGCAAAAACUGUCCAGUUUGGGCCAAGUAUAUCAGACUGCUGACCAGCUCUGAUCCUUCAAUGCAACCAAGUGCAUGCCAGAGUGCAGAGUGAUGCUACAGAGUGAUGUCUUUAGCACCAAUGACAUGGUUAUCUACAGUUUAAAGCGCAAGAUUGAUGAGCACGAAGAAGAACUUGUUCAGCUCAAGAGAAAGAUCAGUAAGCUGUAGAUCUCUAAAAUUGCUAAACAAAGUCCAGAAAAGACAUUAUAAUACUGGAUCUUUUGUACCCCCAAAUACUUGUACAUUAUGUUAGUUGUUGUUUGGUAAUGGUUGCAUGUGUCAGCGCAGCUCUGCUUGUAUGUAAA